GAUGAAUGCCCUGUCCCUGUGGACUUUCAAGGCAAGGCAGGAUCAGGCCCUGGGCAACAUGAUAUACUUAUGCAUGUCUCUGUUCAUUGCAGGAGAGUUGGACUAGAUGACCUUUAAAGGUCCCUUCCAGCUCUGAAGAUUCUAUGAUUCUGUGAUUAAAACUAGCAAAUGAACAAACCCUGAAGUAUCAACAUGAGAUAAAGAUAUGCAAACACCAUGAAAACAAUAUUUCCUCGAAAUGAGAUUACUACACUGUUGCAGGACACAGUCAUGCCUUUGAGGCACUGAAUUACAGUGGGAGCACUGCAAGGUUACCAGAGACACCCUCUAAACUAAAAUGUUUAUAUGGAGGAUUAUCCUGUGAGAAGAUAUGAAAACCUCCACAGUAUCAACACUAAGACAUAAAAUCUCCAAAACAAAUUUGAUUUUCUGUAUGCUAAAGAAUCUGAGUUCACUUCUGUUCAGAGUAAUUGAACAAGAUGAUGAAACAAAAGUCAAGAUUUCUCAUGGAAUUACAUGCAGAAUGAGGAAGGAACCUCUUUAUCAUACAGGAAAAGGCCAACCUAACUUAUCCUUCUGGGACCAAGACAUUCAUUCUUAUUCCUUCUGGUUAAGUUAUUACAUUCAGCUGAAAGGAAGAGUAAAGAAAUGCAUGGUGAUAGCAGUGAAUAUCUUGUGAUAGCAGUGAAUACCUUUUGUCUAUUGACACAACAGAAGGGAGGGACUCCACCCAGAGGGACCUGGACAUGCUGGAAAAGCAGGUAUAUGAGAAUCUAAUGAGGUUUGACAAGGCCAAGUUCAAGGUGUUGCACUUGGGUCAUGGCAAUCCCAUAUCUGAGUAAAGGCCGGGAGAAGAACUAAUUGCAAGCAGCCCUGAAGAUAAGGACUUGGGGCUCCUGAUGGAUGAGAAGCUGGCAUGAGCCAGCAGUGUGUGCUUGCAGUCCAGAAGGCCAACUGUAUCUUGGGCUGCAUUUAAAUGGGGGUGGCAAGCAGGGAGAGGGAGGGGAUUGUCCCCUUCUACUCUGUCCUUGUGAGGCCCAUCUGAAGUACUGUAUCCAAGCCUAGGACCCCCAAUACAGGAGGGAUGUAGAGCUGUUGGAGUGGGUAGAGGAGGGCCACAAAGAUGAUCAGAGGGCUGGAGCACCUCUCCUAUGAAGAAAGGUUGAAGAGGUUGGACUUGUUUAGCUUGUAGACAAGAAGACUCUGGGAAGACCUCAUUGUGGCCUUCCAGUACAUGAAGGGAGCUUAGAAACAGGAGAGGGACUGACUUUUUACAUGGUCUGAUAGCAAAAGGGCAAGGGGGAAUGGCUUUAAACUAAAAGAGGGAAGAUUUAAGCUUAAUGUUAAGAAUUGUUUUUACUCAGGGUGGUGAGGCACUGGAAUAGGCUGUCUAUACAGACUGUGAAUGCCCUGCCUCUGGAGGCAUUCAAGGCCACGAUGGAUGGGGCCCUGGGCAGCCUGAUCUAGUGGGUGGCAACCCUGCCUAUGGCAGGGAGUGAGAACUAGAUGAACUUUAAUUUCUCCUCCAAAAUAAGCCCUUCUAUGAGUAUAUGUUUCUAUGAUCUUUGGGGAUUCUUUUUCAAUCAGUUUUGUAGGCUGUUAAUACUGUUAAUAAGAUGAGACAGUUAGUAUUUGAGUUGGAUUGCUUAGUCUUUACUGAGCAUGUAAAUUGCAUUGUUGAGUUCCAUUCUGUUACUGCCCUGUAGUGUAAAUAUCCAUGAUAAUAACUGCAAAUUUCAGAUUAUGAUUAGUACUAUAAGUGAUUGAAACACUGAUUCUGCAAGCAUUCCUGCUGUCUCUCAUUUCCUAAAACACUCACAGUAAGGAAACAACAAGAAAGACAACAGUAGAUGUCUUGUGGAUUUGUGUACAACUUGCAAUUUUAGUAUCUGUGGAAUCUAAUUGCAGUGCUCUUUUCUUUGCUGACAGUGUUUUUUUUUAUCAAGCCAAUGUGGUUGAAUUAAUAGCGACAGGCAUGGUAGAGCCCUGAGGACCUGAAACUGAUGCCAGCUUGUAUCAGCAGUGCUACCUGUGAGGAAAGUUUACUAACAAACAUAACAAUGAAGAAAAGGAGAGCAAAAUGAAGAAAAUUGUCUAAGACAAAGAACUCUAUGAAUACAUCCUUGUGAAGCUAAAAAUAAUCAGCAAAGAGCUGUGGAAAGUUCUUCUUAGCAUCAGAUUAGUUACAGAAGAUUUUCAUAUUUAUGUUAGGCUGGGUACACGUUAUUUUUUUUUUUUUAACAACGCUGUAUCACAAAAUAUUGUCUUUUAGGUAUUGUAACUGUGUUGUAACUGUGUGAAAUAGCCUAGGCAAAGAGACCAGCAGCUCGGGGAACUUUUGAAUCGUUAUUAGUAUAUACUGAAAUUGCUAGAAAACAAUAACAAAUUUAUGGAGUCUGGAGAUUUGCAUAUGCCUGGAAAGUCUCACUUCAACCUGGAUUCUAAUGAGGAAACAGUGAUAAGGAAAUCAUGGGUUGUUUUUUCCUAUUCUUCCCCCCUAGUCCAAACAGCUAAGCAUCAUUAUGCAACAAAAUAUAUCUGAAAAGAAAAUCAGGUUUCAACCAGUCCUAUGAAGAGCAAAGUAAAUUACAUCUAUCAAGUUAGAGAACAAACUAGAAUUAGGAAAGGAUCUGUAUAUAAAUAAAAAAAGCUGAGAAAGGGACA
ensembl:lncRNA